rnacentral:rRNA from 1 species
AUGAAAAUCAGUGGUUGGAAGGAAAAGCUGCUAUCAGCAGGAGGAAAGGAAAUCCUUCUCAAAUCGGUUGUACAAGCUAUCCCAACUUAUGCAAUGUCCGUCUUUAAAAUUCCUAAAAAGAUAUGUAAAGGAAUCAUUGACGCGAUGUCGCACUUUUGGUGGGGUGAUGAAGACAAUCAGAAGAGAAUGCAUUGGAUGGCAUGGUGGAAGAUGUGUGUACCAAAAGACCAAGGAGGAAUGGGUUUUCGAGACAUACAUUGUUUCAAUCUGGCCUUGUUAGCCAAACAAGCGUGGCGCCUGCUUGAUAAUCCUAAUUCCCUAUGUGCCACCAUUUUGAGAGCUAAAUAUUUUCCGGAUGGAGAUUUAAUGAAUGCGAGUCUGAAAAAAGGAUCUUCUUUCACUUGGCAAAGCAUUAUGGCCGGAGUGGAUUCUCUCAAAAAAGGUUAUAUUUGGAGAGUUGGUAAUGGACAAAAUAUUGAUAUUUGGAUAGAUGCAUGGAUCCCGAAUGGGGCCAAUAGGAAAAUUAUCACUCCUAGAAGAGGGCAGCUUCUAACAAAAGUUGUUGAUCUUAUAGAUCCAAUCAACAAUUGUUGGGAUGAAGAUUUGGUAAGACAAACGUUGUGGCCAAUUGAUGUCCAGAGGGUGCUUACGAUCCCCCUCCCCACGUAUAACAUGUCGGAUUUCAUAGCUUGGAGCUUUACAAAGAAUGGA